UAACAAUUUGGCGCCGUGACUCGGAUCGAGAUUUUGGAGGGGCUCUCCGCCUGCGGGAAGGUGCGCCCCACCAUUUUGGAGGGCCCGGUUGACCCCUUAAAUUUUGUGCACAAAGUCCGGACGAAGACGCAGGACGCGUUCAGCCCGGGGACUGGGUACUGGUCCAAAGUUGGAAGGAAAAUCCGAUAUCACCCAAGUGGGAAGGACUUUACCAG